AGUGAACGCUGGCGGUAGGCCUAACACAUGCAAGUCGAACGGCAGCACAGUAAGAGCUUGCUCUUACGGGUGGCGAGUGGCGGACGGGUGAGGAAUACAUCGGAAUCUACUUUUUCGUGGGGGAUAACGUAGGUAAUCUUACGCUAAUACCGCAUACGACCUACGGGUGUAAGCAGCGGACCUUCGGCCCUUGCGCGAUUGAAUGAGCCGAUGUCGGAUUAGCUAGUUGGCGGGGUAAAGGCCCACCAAGGCGACGAUCCGUAGCUGGUCUGAGAGGAUGAUCAGCCACACUGGAACUGAGACACGGUCCAGACUCCUACGGGAGGCAGCAGUGGGGAAUAUUGGACAAUGGGCGAAAGCCUGAUCCAGCAAUACCGCGGGGGUGAAGAAGGCCUUCGGGUUUUAAAGCCCUUUUGUUGGGAAAGAAAAGCAGCAGGUUAAUAUCCCGCUGUUCUGACGGUACCCAAAGAAUAAGCACCGGCUAACUUCGUG
rnacentral:rRNA from 1 species